UUGAUCCAUGUAGAGGUACAUAGAUAAAUGCAGACAAUUUAUUAAAGUUUUCGUCCUAAACAAGUGGAGAAACCCGUGCAUCCAAGAACUGAAUAACUUAACAAUGCGCUCGAGAUUUCACGUGUGUAUCCCUCCUAAGCUCCAAGUCGCUCAACGAAUGCAUCAACGCAAAUGAAAUCGGUCGCGGAGCAACAAUCUUCAACGCACCUUCACUUCAAUCUCACGCAAACACCAGGAAUCUAAACGAAAGGUCAAGAAUUCAAUUUCUCCAUCCACAAAGAAUCAAGAACGAAAUGAAUCUGUGUGAAAUAUUAACACCAGGACGGUACGAGAUCGGGGUUGCGUCUGAUUCGCCGGAUCGAAAUUCGGAUUAUGGACAAGCUUCGGUUGUUAUGCUUGAUGAUGUCGUCGCGUCGCCGACGUAGACGACGCCUUCGGAUUCGUGCAGACUUCCAAACUCCAAUGCCGACUUCAGGUGGUUUUAGUGUGCUGCUAGAGUUGGAUUUUGUUGUGCAGAUUUUUUGUUAUUGGUUAUGUGAAGUUAUAUGACUCUUGGUUCAGUUAUGAGGGAAAAGGAGAUUUGGUUUGAAGGAAUUGGGUUGGUUCGAAAAUUAUGCAGGUUGAAUGUAUUAUGUUUUUGCUUUCAUUGGCUUGCUAACAAUUGAAAUGUUAUGUACUGAGUUAUGUUAAUUGGAUUGUAAAUGUUCAGCUCUUCUGUCAUGGUCUUGAAGUUUUGUUAAUGAAUUGGAAUUUCUGUCAAAAUCCCCAUUCUGCAGGUUGAUGGAAGUUGGUAUGUCCCAGCGAGGCGUUGAGCAAGACUUUCUCGGAUCCGAAGUGGAGUCUGCUAGGUGAUGUCUGAGACUAGAGUUUUUCCGUUCAAUAGCACCGUCGCCGGCGCCGGUUGUUUGGUUUCUAGUUCCGGAAGCAGGAUGUAGCUGCUGAGCUGAAAACACCAAUCCAAUUAGAUUGGAACUGGCAGUUCUAUUUUAUCGUGACGAGAGCGUGAAGGUUUCGGUUAGAAGUUGUUAGAAGGUUGUUAAUAGUUAGGGGUUUAGAUGAAUUUGAUGAAAAGAAAUGUUAGCAGUCAGUUUGGUUUAUGAUCUGGUAGUGAAUGAGAAAAUCCAAAUUCUACUAAUGCAGUUAGUUUUCAUUGAAAUUUUUUGUUAUUGUUAGCUCUGUUAAACAUUUUUACAAAGUUAAAAUGACUUAAUUCGGUUUUCAA